rnacentral:rRNA from 1 species
AAUUCGAUUGAGUUUGAUCAUGGCUCAGGAUGAACGCUAGCGGCAGGCUUAAUACAUGCAAGUCGAAUGUGGCAACACAUGGCGCACGGGUGCGUAACACGUAUGCAACCUACUCACUACAGGAGGAUAACCAGCCGAAAGGUUGGAUAAUACUCCAUAAUAUCAUCGACAAGCAUUUGUUGGUGAUUAAAGAUUUAUCGGUAGUGAAUGGGCAUGCGUCCGAUUAGCUAGUUGGCGGGGUAACGGCCCACCAAGGCUAUGAUCGGUAGGGGAACUAAGAGGUUUAUCCCCCACACUGGUACUGAGAGACGGACCAGACUCCUACGGGAGGCAGCAGUAGGGAAUAUUGGACAAUGGGGGCAACCCUGAUCCAGCCAUGCCGCGUGCAGGAAGAAGGCGUUAUGCGUUGUAAACUGCUUUUGACAGGGAAUAAAAAGCUCAUGCGUGAGAAAUUGAAUGUACCUGUAGAAUAAGCCACGGCUAACUACGUGCCAGCAGCCGCGGUAAUACGUAGGUGGCGAGCGUUAUCCGGAUUUAUUGGGUUUAAAGGGAGCGUAGGCGGUUCUGUAAGUCAGUGGUGAAAGUCGGCCGCUUAACGGUUGGAAUGCCAUUGAUACUGCAGAGCUAGAGUAUAGUAUAGGUAGGGAGAAUUGACGGUGUAGCGGUGAAAUGCAUAGAUAUCGUCAAGAAUACCGAUUGCGAAGGCACCUUACUGGACUAUAACUGACGCUGAGGCUCGAAAGUAUGGGAAUCAAACAGGAUUAGAUACCC